AUUGAACGCUGGCGGCAGGCCUAACACAUGCAUGUCGAGCGAGCGGCGGACGGGUGAGUAGUGUCUGGGAAACUGCCUGAUGGAGGGGGAUAACUCCUGGAAACGGUUGCUACUACCGCAAACCAUCAGGUGGGCCCAGCUGGGAUGAGCUAGGAGGUGGGUUAACGGCUCACCUAGGCAACGAUCCCUAGCUGGUGUGAGAGGAUGACCAGCCACACUGGAACUGAAAUACGGUCCAGACGCCGACGUGAGGCAGCAUAGGGGAAUAUUGCACAAGGGGAGCAAGCCUGAUGCAGCCAGGCGGGGGGUGGGAAGAAGGCCUUAGGGUUGUAAAGCACUUUCUGCGGGGAGGCUUUACCCGCAGAAGAAGCACCGGCUAACUCCGUGCCAGCCGCCGGGGUAAUAC
rnacentral:rRNA from 1 species